rnacentral:rRNA from 1 species
CAUUAGCUAGUUGGGAGGGUAACGUCCUGCCAAGGCAAUGAUGUUUAGGGGACCUGAGAGGGUGAUCCCCCACACUGGUACUGAGACACGGACCAGACUCCUACGGGAGGCAGCAGUGAGGAAUAUUGGUCAAUGGGCGACAGCCUGAACCAGCCAUCCCGCGUGAAGGAAGAAAGCGCUAUGCGUUGUAAACUUCUUUUCCAGAGGGAUAAAAUGAUGUACGCGUACAUUACUGAAGGUACUCUGGGAAUAAGCAUCGGCUAACUCCGUGCCAGCAGCCGCGGUAAUACGGAGGAUGCGAGCGUUAUCCGGAUUUAUUGGGUUUAAAGGGUGCGUAGGCGGGACAAUAAGUCAGUGGUGAAAACCUGCAGCUUAACUGUAGACUUGCCGUUGAUACUGUUGUUCUUGAGUAUGGUCAAGGCAGGCGGAAUGUGUAAUGUAGCGGUGAAAUGCUUAGAUAUUACACAGAACACCGAUAGCGAAGGCAGCUUGCUGGGCCGUUACUGACGCUGAUGCACGAAAGCGUGGGGAUCGAACAGGAUUAGAUACCCUGGUAGUCCACGCCGUAAACGAUGAUCACUAGCUGUUGGCGAUAUACCGUCAGUGGCAAAGCAAAAGCAUUAAG